rnacentral:rRNA from 1 species
UUGGCUCAGAACGAACGCUGGCGGCAGGCCUAACACAUGCAAGUCGAGCGGAUGAGAGGAGCUUGCUCCUCGAUUCAGCGGCGGACGGGUGAGUAAUGCCUAGGAAUCUGCCUAGUAGUGGGGGACAACGUUUCGAAAGGAACGCUAAUACCGCAUACGUCCUACGGGAGAAAGUGGGGGAUCUUCGGACCUCACGCUAUUAGAUGAGCCUAGGUCGGAUUAGCUAGUUGGUAGGGUAAAGGCCUACCAAGGCGACGAUCCGUAACUGGUCUGAGAGGAUGAUCAGUCUGGCCUCAGAAC